GACGAACGCUGGCGGCGUGCCUAAUACAUGCAAGUCGAACGGUCUUUUCUAUGGAAGCUUGCUUCCACUGAGAAGAUAGUGGCGAACGGGUGAGUAACACGUGGGUAACCUGCCCAUAAGAGGGGGAUAACAUCCGGAAACGGGUGCUAAUACCGCAUAGUUUUCUUGAUCGCAUGAUUGAGAAAGGAAAGACGGCCUUUGUGCUGUCGCUUAUGGAUGGACCCGCGGCGUAUUAGUUAGUUGGUGAGGUAACGGCUCACCAAGACGAUGAUACGUAGCCGACUUGAGAGGGUGAUCGGCCACAUUGGGACUGAGACACGGCCCAAACGCCUACGGGAGUCAGCAGUAGGGAAUCUUCCGCAAUGGACGAAAGUCUGACGGAGCAACGCCGCGUGAGUGAAGAAGGUUUUCGGAUCGUAAAACUCUGUUGUCAGAGAAGAACAAGUCGGAGAGUAACUGCUCCGGCCUUGACGGUAUCUGACCAGAAAGCCACGGCUAACUACGUGCCAGCAGCCGCAGUAAAAC
rnacentral:rRNA from 1 species